rnacentral:lncRNA from 1 species
GCUGGGCGAAGGCUCCGAGCCACGAGACCCCCGCCUCCUGUCCCGGGACCCACCCAGGCGGAGGCAAGGGCAGGGGCGCUGGGGGCCCAGAGAGAGGGCGCCGCGAUGGAUGGAUGAGCUGUUUCCAGCAUUCCUGCUUCAACUCAAAAUUUUCCUUCAUGGCACAGUGGAAAGCUUUGAAGACCGCGGUUCUGGGGCUGAAUAUGAAGGCAACUCGGACUAAGAAGACGACUGCUUUCCAACUGCCCUCCCGUUCUGCAGCCGGCUGAUUUGAGGAAGGGGCUGGGAUCCUUCCCCUUGCCCUCUGGUUGUUCUUGGAGUUACAGCAGCCCCGCGGCAGCUCUGCCCCCUAGUGCACAUGUGAGGCAGCGCGCCCUUCUCCAAUCCAGAAGCCUCGUCGCGGUGCUGCCAGCAAGGGAGUUUUUCUGUAUUCACUUUGGUGGAAAUAGCAAAACUUGACAGAAAAAAAACCCAAGCCAAACCAAAACACACGAACCAUUCUAGCCUUUUCUCCCUUUCGUUUCUUUCUGAGGAUCUGGCCGAUUUGGAUGCAGAAAACAUGCCUGUUGCUUCUGCUGCGAAAUCUGCUCUUUCUCUUCCUGCUAUCGGAACCCUGUCCCUUCUUUCAAAGCCUAAUUCAGGCCAGGCGCGGUGGCUCACGCCUGUAAUCCCAGCACUUUGGGAGGCCGAGACAGACGGAUCACUUGAGGUCAAG